UGAUGGCCAGGCUGUCUCCACCCGAGACUCAGUGAAAUUGAACUCGCUGUGAAGAUGCAGUGUACCCGCGGCAAGACGGAAAGACCCCGUGAACCUUUACUAUAGCUUGACACUGAACAUUGAGCCUUGAUGUGUAGGAUAGGUGGGAGGCUUUGAAGCGUGGACGCCAGUCUGCGUGGAGCCGACCUUGAAAUACCACCCUUUAAUGUUUGAUGUUCUAACGUGGACCCGUUACCCGGGUUGCGGACAGUGUCUGGUGGGUAGUUUGACUGGGGCGGUCUCCUCCUAAAGAGUAACGGAGGAGCACGAAGGUUGGCUAAUCCUGGUCGGACAUCAGGAGGUUAGUGCAAUGGCAUAAGCCAGCUUGACUGCGAGCGUGACGGCGCGAGCAGGUGCGAAAGCAGGUCAUAGUGAUCCGGUGGUUCUGAAUGGAAGGGCCAUCGCUCAACGGAUAAAAGGUACUCCGGGGAUAACAGGCUGAUACCGCCCAAGAGUUCAUAUCGACGGCGGUGUUUGGCACCUCGAUGUCGGCUCAUCACAUCCUGGGGCUGAAGUAGGUCCCAAGGGUAUGGCUGUUCGCCAUUUAAAGUGGUACGCGAGCUGGGUUUAGAACGUCGUGAGACAGUUCGGUCCCUAUCUGCCGUGGGCGCUGGAGAACUGAGGGGGGCUGCUCCUAGUACGAGAGGACCGGAGUGGACGCAUCACUGGUGUUCGGGUUGUCAUGCCAAUGGCACUGCCCGGUAGCUAAAUGCGGAAGAGAUAAGUGCUGAAAGCAUCUAAGCACGAAACUUGCCCCGA
rnacentral:rRNA from 1 species